GGCGGACGGGUGAGUAAUGCUUGGGAACUUGCCUUUGCGAGGGGGAUAACAGUUGGAAACGACUGCUAAUACCGCAUAAUGUCUACGGACCAAAGGGGGCUUUUAGCUCUCGCGUGAAGAGAGGCCCAAGUGAGAUUAGCUAGUUGGUGAGGUAAAGGCUCACCAAGGCGACGAUCUCUAGCUGUUCUGAGAGGAAGAUCAGCCACACUGGGACUGAGACACGGCCCAGACUCCUACGGGAGGCAGCAGUGGGGAAUAUUGCACAAUGGGGGAAACCCUGAUGCAGCCAUGCCGCGUGUGUGAAGAAGGCCUUCGGGUUGUAAAGCACUUUCAGUUGUGAGGAAAGGUUGGUAGUUAAUACCUGCCAGCUGUGACGUUAACAACAGAAGAAGCACCGGCUAACUCCGUGCCAGCAGCCGCGGUAAUACGGAGGGUGCGAGCGUUAAUCGGAAUUACUGGGCGUAAAGCGCACGCAGGCGGUUUGUUAAGCUAGAUGUGAAAGCCCCGGGCUCAACCUGGGAUGGUCAUUUAGAACUGGCAGACUAGAGUCUUGGAGAGGGGAGUGGAAUUCCAGGUGUAGCGGUGAAAUGCGUAGAGAUCUGGAGGAACAUCAGUGGCGAAGGCGACUCCCUGGCCAAAGACUGACGCUCAUGUGCGAAAGUGUGGGUAGCGAACAGGAUUAGAUACCCUGGUAGUCCACACCGUAAACGCUGUCUACUAGCUGUGUGUGUAUUUUAUACGUGCGUAGCGAAGCUAACGCGCUAAGUAGACCGCCUGGGGAGUACGGCCGCAAGGUUAAACUCAAAUGAAUUGACGGGGGCCCGCACAAGC
rnacentral:rRNA from 1 species